GAUGAACGCUAGCGGCAGGCUUCACACAUGCAUGUCGAGGGGUAUAGUUCUUCGCAAUUAGAGACCGGCGCACGGGUGUGUAACGCGUAUGCAAUCUCCCUUUCACAAAGGGAUAGCCCAGAGAAAUUUGGAUUAAUACCUUAUAGUAUAGCGACUUCGCAUGGAGAUGUUAUUAAAGAUUUAUCGGUGAAAGAUGAGCUUGCGUCCCAUUAGCUAGUUGGUAAGGUAACGGCUUACCAAGGAUACGAUGGGUAUGGGUCAUGAGAGGGAGAUCCCCCACACUGGUAAUGAGACACGGACCAGACUCCUACGGGAGGCAGCAGUGAGGAAUACUGGUCAAUGGGCGCAAGCCUGAACCAUCCAUGCCGCGUGCAGGAUGACGGUCCUAUGGAUUGUAAACUGCUUUUGUACAGGAAGAAACACUCGGACGUGUCCGAGCUUGACGGUACUGUAAGAAUAAGGAUCGGCUAACUCCGUGCCAGCAGCCGCGGUAAUACGGAGGAUCCAAGCGUUAUCCGGAAUCAUUGGGUUUAAAGGGUCCGUAGGCGGCUUAAUAAGUCAGUGGUGAAAUCCCUACGCUUAACGUAGGAACGGCCAUUGAUACUGUUAGGCUUGAAUUAUUAGGAAGUAACUAGAAUAUGUAGUGUAGCGGUGAAAUG
rnacentral:rRNA from 1 species